rnacentral:rRNA from 1 species
UACGUAGGGGGCUAGCGUUGUCCGGAAUCAUUGGGCGUAAAGAGCGUGUAGGCGGCCCGGUAAGUCCGCUGUGAAAGUCGGGGGCUCAACCCUCGAAAGCCGGUGGAUACUGUCGGGCUAGAGUGCGGAAGAGGCGAGUGGAAUUCCUGGUGUAGCGGUGAAGUGCGCAGAUAUCAGGAGGAACACCGAUUGCGAAGGCAGCUCGCUGGGACGUAACUGACGCUGAGACGCGAAAGCGUGGGGAGCAAACAGG